AUUAAAUAGCUUGCUGAAUUACACAAAAUAGAACAUGAUAAAAAAGGAAAGGAAUCCCUGCGCAAGAUAGGGAGAUCCUUGUUUAAUAAGCAAAGAUAAAAGUAGAAACAAAUCUCAACCUAACUAAUACUUGCCUAAAUCAAAUUUAGAAACAAAUAAUUAACAAAA